UACGGGGGGGGCAAGCGUUGUCCGGAUUUAUUGGGCGUAAAGCGCUCGCAGGUGGUUCGUUGCGUCGUGCGUGAAAGACCCCGGCUCAACUGGGGAGGGUCGUGCGAUACGGGCGAACUGGAGGCUAGUAGGGGGAUGCGGAAUUCCGGGUGUAGUGGUGGAAUGCGUAGAGAUCCGGAGGAACACCAGCGGCGAAGGCGGCAUCCUGGACUGGUCCUGACACUCAUGAGCGAAAGCGUGGGGAGCGAUCCGG
rnacentral:rRNA from 1 species